UGGGGAAUUUUGGACAAUGGGCGAAAGCCUGAUCCAGCAAUGCCGCGUGUGUGAAGAAGGCCUUCGGGUUGUAAAGCACUUUUGUCCGGAAAGAAAUCCUUGGCUCUAAUACAGUCGGGGGAUGACGGUACCGGAAGAAUAAGCACCGGCUAACUACGUGCCAGCAGCCGCGGUAAUACGUAGGGUGCAAGCGUUAAUCGGAAUUACUGGGCGUAAAGCGUGCGCAGGCGGUUUGCUAAGACCGAUGUGAAAUCCCCGGGCUCAACCUGGGAACUGCAUUGGUGACUGGCAGGCUAGAGUAUGGCAGAGGGGGGUAGAAUUCCACGUGUAGCAGUGAAAUGCGUAGAGAUGUGGAGGAAUACCGAUGGCGAAGGCAGCCCCCUGGGCCAAUACUGACGCUCGUGCACGAAAGCGUGGGGAGCAAACAGGAUUAGAUACCCUGGUAGUCCACGCCCUAAACGAUGUCAACUAGUUGUUGGGGAUUCAUUUCCUUAGUAACGUAGCUAACGCGUGAAGUUGACCGCCUGGGGAGUACGGUCGCAAGAUUAAAACUCAAAUGAAUUGACGGGGUCAUAGCUGUUUCCU
rnacentral:rRNA from 1 species